rnacentral:rRNA from 1 species
AGAGUUUGAUCAUGGCUCAGAUUGAACGCUGGCGGCAGGCCUAACACAUGCAAGUCGAGCGGUAGCACAGAGAGCUUGCUCUCGGGUGACGAGCGGCGGACGGGUGAGUAAUGUCUGGGAAACUGCCUGAUGGAGGGGGAUAACUACUGGAAACGGUAGCUAAUACCGCAUAAUGUCGCAAGACCAAAGAGGGGGACCUUCGGGCCUCUUGCCAUCGGAUGUGCCCAGAUGGGAUUAGCUAGUAGGUGGGGUAACGGCUCACCUAGGCGACGAUCCCUAGCUGGUCUGAGAGGAUGACCAGCCACACUGGAACUGAGACACGGUCCAGACUCCUACGGGAGGCAGCAGUGGGGAAUAUUGCACAAUGGGCGCAAGCCUGAUGCAGCCAUGCCGCGUGUAUGAAGAAGGCCUUCGGGUUGUAAAGUACUUUCAGCGGGGAGGAAGGGAGUAAAGUUAAUACCUUUGCUCAUUGACGUUACCCGCAGAAGAAGCACCGGCUAACUCCGUGCCAGCAGCCGCGGUAAUACGGAGGGUGCAAGCGUUAAUCGGAAUUACUGGGCGUAAAGCGCACGCAGGCGGUUUGUUAAGUCAGAUGUGAAAUCCCCGGGCUCAACCUGGGAACUGCAUCUGAUACUGGCAAGCUUGAGUCUCGUAGAGGGGGGUAGAAUUCCAGGUGUAGCGGUGAAAUGCGUAGAGAUCUGGAGGAAUACCGGUGGCGAAGGCGGCCCCCUGGACGAAGACUGACGCUCAGGUGCGAAAGCGUGGGGAGCAAACAGGAUUAGAUACCCUGGUAGUCCACGCCGUAAACGAUGUCGACUUGGAGGUUGUGCCCUUGAGGCGUGGCUUCCGGAGCUAACGCGUUAAGUCGACCGCCUGGGGAGUACGGCCGCAAGGUUAAAACUCAAAUGAAUUGACGGGGGCCCGCACAAGCGGUGGAGCAUGUGGUUUAAUUCGAUGCAACGCGAAGAACCUUACCUGGUCUUGACAUCCACAGAACUUUCCAGAGAUGGAUUGGUGCCUUCGGGAACUGUGAGACAGGUGCUGCAUGGCUGUCGUCAGCUCGUGUUGUGAAAUGUUGGGUUAAGUCCCGCAACGAGCGCAACCCUUAUCCUUUGUUGCCAGCGGUCCGGCCGGGAACUCAAAGGAGACUGCCAGUGAUAAACUGGAGGAAGGUGGGGAUGACGUCAAGUCAUCAUGGCCCUUACGACCAGGGCUACACACGUGCUACAAUGGCAUAUACAAAGAGAAGCGACCUCGCGAGAGCAAGCGGACCUCAUAAAGUAUGUCGUAGUCCGGAUUGGAGUCUGCAACUCGACUCCAUGAAGUCGGAAUCGCUAGUAAUCGUGGAUCAGAAUGCCACGGUGAAUACGUUCCCGGGCCUUGUACACACCGCCCGUCACACCAUGGGAGUGGGUUGCAAAAGAAGUAGGUAGCUUAACCUUCGGGAGGGCGCUUACCACUUUGUGAUUCAUGACUGGGGUGAAGUCGUAACAAGGUAACCGUAGGGGAACCUGCGGUUG